rnacentral:rRNA from 1 species
AACGGCAGCACGGACUUCGGUCUGGUGGCGAGUGGCGAACGGGUGAGUAAUAUACCGGAACGUAUCCAAUAAUGGGGGAUAACUAAUCGAAAGGUUGGCUAAUACCGCAUACGCCCUACGGGGGAAAGCUAGGGAUCGCAAGACCUGGCGUUAAUGGAGCGGCCGAUAUCUGAUUAGCUAGUUGGUGGGGUAAAGGCUCACCAAGGCGACGAUCAGUAGCUGGUCUGAGAGGACGACCAGCCACACUGGAACUGAGACACGGUCCAGACUCCUACGGGAGGCAGCAGUGGGGAAUUUUGGACAAUGGGCGCAAGCCUGAUCCAGCCACUCCGCGUGAGUGAAGAAGGCCUUCGGGUUGUAAAGCUCUUUCGCAAGGGAAGAAAACUUAUCCUCUAACAUAGGAUGAGGUUGACGGUACCUUGAUAAGAAGCACCGGCUAACUACGUGCCAGCAGCCGCGGUAAUACGUAGGGUGCGAGCGUUAAUCGGAAUUACUGGGCGUAAAGCGUGCGCAGGCGGUUUUGAAAGUCAGAUGUGAAAUCCCCGAGCUCAACUUGGGAACUGCGUUUGAAACUCCAAAACUCGAAUAUGUCAGAGGGGGGUAGAAUUCCACGUGUAGCAGUGAAAUGCGUAGAGAUGUGGAGGAAUACCAAUGGCGAAGACAGCCCCCUGGGAUAAUAUUGACGCUCAUGCACGAAAGCGUGGGGAGCAAACAGGAUUAGAUACCCUGGUAGUCCACGCCCUAAACGAUGUCUACUAGUUGUUGGUGGAGUAAAAUCCAUGAGUAACGCAGCUAACGCGU